GCUAGGCAUGCUGGUGCAUUCCUGUAAUCCCAAUAGCUCAGGAGGCUGAGGCAGGAGGAUUGCAAGUUCAAAGCCAGCUUUUGCAACUUAGCAAGGCCCUAAGCAACUUAGUGAGAUACUGUCUCUA
rnacentral:sRNA from 1 species